AAGGCUUUAGCUUAAUUAAAGUGUUUGUUUUGCAUGCAGGAGAUGUGGGUUAGUGGCCCGCAAGCCUUA
rnacentral:tRNA from 1 species